CCUACGGGAGGCAGCAGUAAGGAAUAUUGGUCAAUGGGCGCAAGCCUGAACCAGCCAUGCCGCGUGCAGGAAGACGGCCCUACGGGUUGUAAACUGCUUUUGUACCGGAAUAAACCCCCGAUCGUGAUCGGGGCUGAAUGUACGGUAAGAAUAAGGAUCGGCUAACUCCGUGCCAGCAGCCGCGGUAAUACGGAGGAUCCAAGCGUUAUCCGGAUUUAUUGGGUUUAAAGGGUGCGUAGGCGGCCUGUUAAGUCAGGGGUGAAAGACGGUAGCUUAACUAUCGCAGUGCCUUUGAUACUGACGGGCUUGAAUGUACUUGAGGUAGGCGGAAUGUGACAAGUAGCGGUGAAAUGCAUAGAUAUGUCACAGAACACCAAUUGCGAAGGCAGCUUACUAAAGUAUGAUUGACGCUGAGGCACGAAAGCGUGGGGAUCAAACAGGAUUAGAUACCCUGGUAGUCCACGCCCUAAACGAUGAAUACUCGAUGUUGGCGAUAUACGGCCAGCGUCUAAGCGAAAGCGUUAAGUAUUCCACCUGGGGAGUACGCCCGCAAGGGUGAAACGUCAAAUGAAUUGACGG
rnacentral:rRNA from 1 species